GACGAACGCUGGCGGCGUGCUUAACACAUGCAAGUCGAACGGAAAGGCCCUGCUUGCAGGGUACUCGAGUGGCGAACGGGUGAGUAACACGUGGGUGAUCUGCCCUGCACUUCGGGAUAAGCCUGGGAAACUGGGUCUAAUACCGGAUAUGAGCCAUUUUUAGUGUGAUGGUUGGAAAGUUUUUUCGGUGUAGGAUGAGCUCGCGGCCUAUCAGCUUGUUGGUGGGGUAAUGGCCUACCAAGGCGGCGACGGGUAGCCGGCCUGAGAGGGUGGACGGCCACAUUGGGACUGAGAGACGGCCCAGACUCCUACGGGAGGCAGCAGUGGGGAAUAUUGCACAAUGGGCGCAAGCCUGAUGCAGCGACGCCGCGUGGGGGAUGACGGCCUUCGGGUUGUAAACUCCUUUCGCUAGGGACGAAGCUUUUUGUGACGGUACCUAGAUAAGAAGCACCGGCUAACUACGUG
rnacentral:rRNA from 1 species